rnacentral:tRNA from 1 species
AAGAAUUUAGUUUAAUUUAAAAUGUUAGAUUGUAAAUCUAAAGUUGUAAGUUCUUG